ensembl:lncRNA
GUGGUGGUGACUGGCACAGUUACCUUCACAGUGUGACUGAUGAGAAUCUCAGUCACAGUGUAGUCAGAAACAACCUUAAGAAAAAUCCAGUUGCUAGUGGUGAUGAUGGAGAAGAGAAGAAAUGAAAGACCUCUAAGGACACGACUGUUGACAGUAACCAUUGAUACUGAUGGACUGUAGGUUGCCCUCUGUGUGCUUGGGUCUUUGGUAGCAUACUUCUUCUAAAGAGCAUUCAGUUCCAAAUGGGGAGCAACUAUGUUUUGUGAACACUUACCAGCAUUUUGGGGCUUCCCUGGUGGCUUGAAGGUAAAGAAUCUGCUGGCAAUCCAAGAGAUGUGGGUUUGAUCCCUGGGUCAGGAAGAUUCCCUGGAGAAGGAAACGGCUACCCACACUCCAGUAUUCCUGCCUGGAGAAUUCCAUGGACAGAGGAGCCUGGUGGGCACUUUGGUGCUAGUUAACUAAAAUAGGUUCUUUCCCAUGCUCAGAAUGUAUUCCUCAUGAAUAGAAAGGCUCUAUUCUGUAUGAAGUGUGUGAUGGUAGACAGAAAGUGUUAGAAGCUUCUUGAAGGGAGUGACUUGGAGCAGAUUCUUGGAAGAUAAGUCAUGCACUGACCAUGUGACUAAGAUCAAAAGUUCCGAAAGACCCUUGCCUGUUUGGAAAAUACUGGGCAAAAACCAAACAAAAGGACUUCUGUUUCUGGCCAAGGAGGGUAGUAGGGAUUUACUCUCUGACUAGAAACAACCCAAAGUGAUCAUGGCAAGAAAAGUUCAUAAGCUGGUUGUUUGUCCUUGAAAUAUCUUCCCCCAUAGAAUCAGUUUUAAGUGACAGGUUCAUUCCUGGCUGAUGCACAAAAGCCUGUUUCCUCCACAUGAGGGAAUUUCAACUAUACUCUCUGUUAAGUAGGUUUUAUAGCCUGGUUUGAAGACACUGUCUCCCCAUGUUAUAUGUUGUCUUCCUGAAGGAGAUAUUGGGGGACCAGAAGAACAAGGAAACAAUGAUCAUUUAAAUAGUCCUUUCACCUGCUGCAGGUGUCUGCUGAAAUGGAAAUGGAGAGGUUCGAGGACAGGUCUGGCCUCUGGGAACAGCUGGGCAUUGUUUGGUCAGUGGAUAAAGGUCUUUUCUAAGCGCUUGAGGCUUCCACCUCCCUGGAGAGGGCUGUCCAAAGCUCUUGGCUGCCCUGAAGGGGGAACUGGGGAAUUAUUAUGGACCCAGAGACUUUCCAGCUUGAUGCAGUUCCUUCUAACCCAGGAUUUCUCAG